rnacentral:rRNA from 1 species
CCUACGGGAGGCACCAUUGGGGAAUCUUGGACAAUGGGCGMDCAAGCCUGAUCCAGCAAUACCGCGUGUGUGAAGAAGGCCUGCGGGUUGUAAAGCACUUUCAGUAGGGAGGAAAUACUUAAGGUUAAUACCCUUGAGAGUUGACGUUACCUACAGAAGAAGCACCGGCUAACUCUGUGCCAGCAGCCGCGGUAAUACAGAGGGUGCAAGCGUUAAUCGGAGUUACUGGGCGUAAAGCGUGCGUAGGCGGAUGCUUAAGUCGGAUGUGAAAGCCCCGGGCUUAACCUGGGAACUGCAUUCGAUACUGGGUGUCUAGAGUAUGGUAGAGGAAAGUGGAAUUUCCGGUGUAACGGUGAAAUGCGUAGAUAUCGGAAAGAACACCAGCGGCGAAGGCGGCUUUCUGGACCAAUACUGACGCUGAGGUACUAAAGCGUGGGGAGCAAACAGGAUUAGAUACCCUAGUAGUCC